UACGGAGGGGGCGAGCGUUAUUCGGAAUUAUUGGGCGUAAAGGGCGCGUAGGCGGCUUGAUGUGUCAAAGGUGAGAUCCCUCGGCUCAACUGAGGAACUGCCUUUGAAACUGUCUGGCUUGAGGCCGGGAGAGGGUAGCGGAAUUCCCAGUGUAGCGGUGAAAUGCGUAGAUACUGGGAGGAACACCGGUGGCGAAGGCGGCUACCUGGACCGGUUCUGACGCUGUUGCGCGAAAGCGUGGGUAGCAAACAGG
rnacentral:rRNA from 1 species